rnacentral:rRNA from 1 species
GACCUCAAAUCAGGUAGGACUACCCGCUGAACUUAAGCAUAUCAAUAAGCGGAGGAAAAGAAACUAACAAGGAUUCCCCUAGUAACUGCGAGUGAAGCGGGAUGAGCUCAAAUUUUGAAUCUGGCGGUCUUCAGGCCGUCCGAGUUGUAAUCUAGAGAAGCGUCUUCCGCGCUGGACCGUGUACAAGUCUCCUGGAAGGGAGCGUCGUAGAGGGUGAGAAUCCCGUCUUUGACACGGACCCCCAGUGCUAUGUGAUGCGCUCUCGACGAGUCGAGUUGUUUGGGAAUGCAGCUCAAAUUGGGUGGUAAACUCCAUCUAAAGCUAAAUAUUGGCGAGAGACCGAUAGCGA